CGUUUUUCCUUUUUAAGUGAAAAUAUUGUCUUGGACAACAAUUUCUAUGUCCUAAAUUCUACAUUUAUCUUCUUCUUUGAAAUCAUCCUCAUUUCACUUAUCCUUUUCCUUCCAUUAAUGAAAUUUCUAAGCCAUUUUCGCCCAUUAAACAAUCUAAUUGCCUAUAAUAUCUUCCUAUUCCUUUUCUAUUUUCUUCUUUAUUGUUCAAAUUGUUACCCAUUUUUAGUAUUUUAUGUUCAAUUUCGCGGUUAAAGGGCAUAUAAUUAUUCACUCUUUGCUUUAUUGUUAAUAUUAAUAUCUAUAUUUGGCUUAGUUGAGGUCAUGCGGCAUUAUGGUUUGCGCCAAACGAUGCUUAACCUACCAGAGACAUGAUUUGGAUCGUAGGGGAAAGGCUACCAUGAACUGGGAUGCGUAUCAUCGGGAAUCCAUCGAGGGGUGGGAGGGAUGUGAAGAUUAC